rnacentral:rRNA from 1 species
CCUACGGGAGGCAGCAGUGGGGAAUAUUGGACAAUGGGGGCAACCCUGAUCCAGCCAUGCCGCGUGUGUGAAGAAGGCCCUCGGGUUGUAAAGCACUUUCAGUGAGGAAGAACGCCUGGUGGUUAAUACCCAUCAGGAAAGACAUCACUCACAGAAGAAGCACCGGCUAACUCCGUGCCAGCAGCCGCGGUAAUACGGAGGGUGCGAGCGUUAAUCGGAAUUACUGGGCGUAAAGCGCGCGUAGGUGGCUUGAUAAGCCGGUUGUGAAAGCCCCGGGCUCAACCUGGGAACGGCAUCCGGAACUGUCAAGCUAGAGUGCAGGAGAGGAAGGUAGAAUUCCCGGUGUAGCGGUGAAAUGCGUAGAGAUCGGGAGGAAUACCAGUGGCGAAGGCGGCCUUCUGGACUGACACUGACACUGAGGUGCGAAAGCGUGGGUAGCAAACAGGAUUAAAUACCCUAGUAGUC